GACGAACGCUGGCGGUAUGCUUAACACAUGCAAGUCGAACGAGAAGUCUUUUAUUGAACCUUCGGGGGAUAUAAGAGACAGACAGUGGCGAACGGGUGAGUAACGCGUGGGCAACCUACCUAUCGGAGCGGGAUAGCCUCGAGAAAUCGGGAGUAAAACCGCAUAACACGGAUAUAUCGCAUGAUGAAUCCGUCAAAACUCCGGUGCCGAUAGAUGGGCCCGCGUCUGAUUAGCUAGUUGGUAAGGUAAGGGCUUACCAAGGCAACGAUCAGUAGCCGGUCUGAGAGGGCGAACGGCCACACUGGAACUGAGACACGGUCCAGACUCCUACGGGAGGCAGCAGUGGGGAAUAUUGCGCAAUGGGGGCAACCCUGACGCAGCAAUACCGCGUGAGUGAAGAAGGUUUUCGGAU
rnacentral:rRNA from 1 species